UUUUUUUUUAGUUUUUGGAAUAUCCCAAGAGUGCAAAUUU
rnacentral:sRNA from 1 species